rnacentral:tRNA from 1 species
GGGGCUGUAGCUCAACUGGGUAGAGCAGUAUUUUUUGUAUCUUGCAAAAGAUAUAUACCGCAAUUUUUCACGUGUCUUAGGUUCGACUCCUAACAGCCCCG